rnacentral:lncRNA from 1 species
AUUUUAUUAUGUGAAUUCAGCUGUUUUAAUUGGUUUAUGAGGGUUUCCUUGUAGCAUGAUCUAAGAUUAUUCAUUUACUUCAAAUAUUUUACUUCCCUUUUGUCAAUUUACGCAUACAAAUACAUUUAAAACGUGUAAGUCGCGCUUAGCACGCCGUGAUUCAAAAAUGUCUUUUGCAUGCGCUCACGCGCGUGCAUGAAGGCUAGUCCAAACAAAAUGAAUUGGGCUUGAUACUUUUUUGUUAAAGCUGAUAUUUUUUCCUUAAAAUCUUAUCCCCAUUUUGGUAUUUAAUCCUGAUUUACCUUUGUUUCAAACUGCUAUUUGUAUGAUUUCGUAUUUAAAUUCUUGAAUAAAGCAUCUUAUUGAUUAAAAAUACACAUAAUUUGACCAUCAGAGAUACAUAUGUAUAUCAAAUUCUAUAAUAUAACACAACCAACCUACAAAUCAACAAGAACAUAACAACUAUAAGAACGAUAUAUUUUGCUUAAAUUCUUACUGUUUCAUUUUUCUGAAAACAUAAAUUUGACAUGCCUUCUCUCUUUUUUAACAGCCUCCACCUCCACCUCAACAACCGCCGUCUCCGCCUCCACCUCCACAACCGCCGCCUCCGCCUCCACCUCCAUAACCGCCGCCUCCUCCACCUGUAUAACCGCCGCCUCCAGGUCUAGGACUUCCUGAGCUAUCACCACAAGCAAAUAUGACCAUUGAUAUAAGUGAGAGGGACAUGAGAAUCAUGCAGAGAAAAAGUAGCCCGCCCGAGUUGUGAUCUGGCAUCAUGAUAGCUACUUCGCCUGCAUGGCCACCACCUAGACCAACGUAUGUUCUAGCCAUUGUUUCUCAGUGAGUUGCAAAUUAAUUACAAGAUUAUACAGCUUAACUAUAUGUGUGUCUGUGUGUGUGAGUGUGUCUGUGUGUGUGUGUUUAUAUAUGUGCAUAUAUAUACAUAUAUAUAUAUAUAUAAAUAAUGUAUGUAUGCUAUUGAAAAUUCAUAUAUAAUCUUUUUUAACAGCUUCCACCUCCGCCUCCACCUCCACAACCGCCGCCUCCGCCUCCACCUCCACAACCGCCAGCUCCACCUGUAUAACCGCCGCCUCUAGGUCUAGGUUUUCCUGAGCUAUCACCACAAGCAAAUAUGACCAUUGAUAUAAGUGAGAGGGACAUGAGAAUCAUGCAGAGCAAAAGUAGCCCGCCCGAGUUGUGAUCUGGCAUCAUGAUAGCUACUUCGCCUGCAUGGCCACCACCUAGACCAACGUAUGUUCUAGCCAUUGUUUCUCAGUGAGUUGCAAAUUAAUUACAAGAUUAUACAGCUUAACUAUAUGUGUGUCUGUGUGUGUGAGUGUGUCUGUGUGUGUGUGUUUAUAUAUGUGUAUAUAUAUACAUAUAUAUAUAUAUAAUUAAUGUAUGUAUGCUAUUGAAAAUUCAUAUAUAAUCUUAGUGUUGACUUGAAAUCAUGAUAUUUAAAGUCUUUGGUUGAAAAUUCAAUAAUGUUAGGCUCAUGGAUACUUCUUUGAAGUUUCAUUCUUGAGAACAGAACGAGAAUUUAUCGUAUAUAGCCAAAAUUUAAUAUAUAAAUUAAAAAAUGUCAAU